UAGAAAUGACUAUAAUGUGACUAUUGCAUUGGAUAGAGUUUUCCAAUGGCAUUGUUUUCUACCUAUCUGACCUAUGUUGAGUUUCGCCAAGACUUGACGGGACCAUCACAUCUUUUGACCACCCCAAAGUCUCACUCGUUGCGCCAACACAGCAGAGAGUUCGUGAGGAGGGGCCUAUAUCCCUGAUCAGCGGCUUAUCCUUUCGUCCACCACAACACUAACUCACACAGUAACUGAUGACAAUCCUUUCCAACUAAUGCUCACUGAAUUUAUCCUCAGCGCUUCUGUUGACACAGCAUGGCACCAGGGACGGAUCCAGUGAUCCACUAACUUUUCCUAUCAGAGAUCUAGACGGACCUGAAAAUAGCACCUCCUGUAGUUCCCGCCUAAACAGUAUCGAAAGAUUGAUCUAGAAGCUUUGACAGAGUUUUAGCUCUUUAUGUCUGCCACAUUGACUUUCUGAUGAAUAAAGGAAAAAAUCGUAGGUGAUAAGGUGACGUUUGCAGAGCGGCGUCUAUUAAAUAUCAUACCUUUAUGUUUGAAGCUGAGACCGGCGAUAUUCCCAAGUAAUACGGCAGAUGAAGACACAAGUUUUAGUAAGGGAGGGCUCCUGCAGAGAUCAAUUCACGGACGCUAAUGUUGCCUUGAAUUAUAGUAUGAUAACCGACAGAGUGACGUUUGCAGAGCGGCGUCUAUUGAAUAUCAUACCUUUAUGUUUGAAGCUGAGACCGGCGAUAUUCC